rnacentral:pre_miRNA from 1 species
AGUGGGUUGCUGGGUUACAUGGUGAGCUCAGGUUUAACUUUUUAAGGAACUGCCAAACUGUUUUUGAAAGUAGUUGUACCAUUUUACAUUCCCACUGGCAAC